GCGAGCUCAGCCAGAUGUUCCGGGCGGUUGCAGAUGUGCCUCGGGGCCGGGGACAGGACUUUCCUCCUCCCUAGCCCCCAGCCUGGAGCUCAGGCUCCCGAGGCUUCGCUCCGCAAAGGGGAACUCUUCGGAGUGCUGCGGGGGAAAGGUAUGGAGGAGCGCUUGGUUUGCUUACCCGGGAGUGGGUGCCCAAGGGGGUCGUGGCGGGUGCGAGAAGCGUCGUCCCCCUCGGACUCGGGCGCCCCCAGCCCUGGCGGGUCCCCGCUGAGCGGCUGCCCGCUGCCCGCGACCACUGCUCACCUCCCGGGGCGCUCGCCAGGCGCGCCCUGCGUGCCCGGGUGCCCCGGCCUGCCCAGGGAGCGGCGAGUGCGGUUUCCAGCGGGCCCGUGCGCACUCCGGCUGGGCGAGCGGCGAAGGCGCCCUCUUCGUGAAGCGGCGCGAGAAGGACGCCGGGGAUCCUGGCAAGCUGCGGCCGGCUCAGGACCCGCGCGGAGUCAGGCGCGGACUCCGGCUGCUCUCUGCUGCGCUCAGCUCCCGUGGCCUGUGCUCGCCGCUCGCCCGAGCUCUCCUCCUCGCCUGGCGCGAUCUCCGGCGCGAGCCUCCCAAACUGCUUUAUAAGGCGGGCGGCCGCUUUGAUCCGCCCACGUCAGCGCGUCGCAACCCCACCGGGUGGCCCCGGCCGCGCGCGGGGGGCGGGGGCGGGGUCCCCGCGGACGCCACUGACCGGCGGCGCCCGCCGCUCCAGAGAACUUAGUACUCUGUCGAGUUACAAAGGGGGACUCGCUCACUACAGCUGGUGUUUACUAAGCGUGCGUGCUGCGUGCCUGCGACACGCGUGGGGCCCGGGUAAGGCCCAUCUCGAAUCGUCGCAGCAACCAGGCAAGGAGCCUCAACUGGCAGGGGGAAGUCAGACUUGGGUCUCAGUCUGGAGCCGGGGCAUCCUUAGGUGUUGGUCGCGCAGCGUGGUUACUGUAGACGUCUGAGGUCCCGAAACCUGCCUUCGUGUCCUAGUCCUGGUCCUUCGGGGGGCCAUCUCUUCUGGCCUCUGGUUCCAGUUGUGGAAAAGGAAUCAACGAUCCUGCAAGAGAAAGAGACACGAGGACUCCGCGCUACAAAGCCCGCUGUAAACCUUAGGUGUGGAGCUGGGCGGCGUCCCAGCCGUUGGGGUGACUGCUGGGGAGUGUUCUGGACACAGGGGAGGGGGAGCAGAGGAGGACUGGGUUUCCUAAGUUAAAGGAGCCUAGAGAGGCACCUCCUGCGUCGAGUAGCCCAGGCGUGUGGUGCUUCUGGACCCCCUCACUUGGCCUCCCCUGAGCAGACCAGCUGCUUACCCCACAACAUGACUGCGAUUUCUAACUGCC